GCAAGUCGAACGAAGUAGCAAUACUUAGUGGCAGACGGGUGAGUAACAUGUAGGUAUCUACCCUUUGGCCUGGAAUAACACGAGGAAACUUGUGCUAAUACCGGAUAAGUCUUUACGGAGAAAGCUUUAUGCACCAUUGGAUGAGCCUGCACUUGAUUAGUUUGUUGGUGGGGUAAUGGCCUACCAAGACUGUGAUCAAUAGCUGAUUUGAGAGGAUGAUCAGCCACAUUGGGACUGAGACACGGCCCAAACUCCUACGGGAGGCAGCAGUGGGGAAUCUUGCACAAUGGAGGAAACUCUGAUGCAGCGAUGCCGCGUGAGUGAAGAAGGCCUUUGGGUUGUAAAGCUCUUUCGUCGGGGAAGAAAAUGACUGUACCCGAAUAAGAAGGUCCGGCUAACUUCGUGCCAGCAGCCGCGGUAAUACGAAGGGACCUAGCGUAGUUCGGAAUUACUGGGCUUAAAGAGUUCGUAGGUGGUUGAAAAAGUUAGUGGUGAAAUCCCAGAGCUUAACUCUGGAACUGCCAUUAAAACUUUUCAGCUAGAGUAUGAUAGA
rnacentral:rRNA from 1 species